UCAGGAGAAAAGUAGUUAUUAUCUUCAUAGCUUAAAGAAUUUGGCGGUUAGUUUUAUUUUUAGAGGAAUCUGAAUUUUAAUUGAUAAACCACGAUAGUUUAUACUUAAAUUUAUAUUUAUAUACCUCUAUUUUUGGAUUAUUUUUUUAGGAUAUUAUCUUUUGGUUUAUUCAUUUAUAUUAGGUCAAGGUGUAGUUUUAUUUAGGUAAAUUUGGAUUACUAUAUAUUUAAUUAUAAUAUGUUAAUCUUAUUUGAUUAUUUUUAGGAUUUGAUAGUAAUUUUAAUUAAUUAAUUAUUUUGAAUAUU
rnacentral:rRNA from 1 species